rnacentral:piRNA from 1 species
UCUUUCAAGUUGCCCACAGUGUCUCCACUUU